rnacentral:RNase_P_RNA from 1 species
GACGGCCAGAUAGCCGCUCCCGUUUUAACGCACGGGGGAGGAACUUCCGGACUCCGCACGGCAGUGUGCCGCUCGAAAGGGCGGGGCGGCGGACUUUAACAUCCGCCGGACGGAAAGUGCCGCAGAAAAAAUACCGCCCGCAAGGGUAAGGGUGAAAAGGUGCGGUAAGAGCGCACCGCGCGUUUGGUAACAAACGCGGCAGGGCAAACCCCACACGGAGCAAGGCCAAGCCGGUUCAUACGCUGCCCGCGUUCGUAACCAAGUAGGCCGCUUAGAGUAAUGGCUAUCCAGCCCGGGGGGGCUGACAGAAUCUGGGGUAUCGGUCGUC